AUUCCAGCUCCAGUAGCGUAUAUUAAAGUUGUUGCAGUUAAAAAGCUCGUAGUUGGAUUUCUGACUUCAAACACCUGACCCUCCCUCGCUAGAGGUGUGUGUGCCGGAGUGUUUGUAUCAUCCUUUCAGUGAUCGGUUCUACCCUUAACCGGGUCGGAACUGUUAACUGGAUCUUUUACUUUGAAGAAAUUGGAGUGUUUAAAGCAGGCUUACGCCAGAACAUAUUAGCAUGGAAUAAUAAUUUAGGACUUUUGUUCUAUUUUGUUGGUUUCUAGGACGAAAGUAAUGAUUGAUAGGGAUAGUUGGGGGUGCUAGUAUCCGGCGGCCAGAGGUGAAAUUCUUUGAUCCGCUGAAGACUAACUUAUGCGAAAGCAUUCACCAAGGAUGUCUUCAUCA
rnacentral:rRNA from 1 species